AGAGUUUGAUCCUGGCUCAGGACGAACGCUGGCGGCGCGCCUAACACAUGCAAGUCGAACGAGAGAUGAGGAGCUUGCUCUUCAAAUCGAGUGGCGAACGGGUGAGUAACGCGUGAGGAACCUGCCUCAAAGAGGGGGACAACAGUUGGAAACGACUGCUAAUACCGCAUAAGCCCACGGCUCGGCAUCGAGCAGAGGGAAAAGGAGCAAUCCGCUUUGAGAUGGCCUCGCGUCCGAUUAGCUAGUUGGUGAGGUAACGGCCCACCAAGGCGACGAUCGGUAGCCGGACUGAGAGGUUGAACGGCCACAUUGGGACUGAGACACGGCCCAGACUCCUACGGGAGGCAGCAGUGGGGAAUAUUGCACAAUGGGGGAAACCCUGAUGCAGCGACGCCGCGUGGAGGAAGAAGGUCUUCGGAUUGUAAACUCCUGUUGUUGAGGAAGAUAAUGACGGUACUCAACAAGGAAGUGACGGCUAACUACGUGCCAGCAGCCGCGGUAAAACGUAGGUCACAAGCGUUGUCCGGAAUUACUGGGUGUAAAGGGAGCGCAGGCGGGAGAACAAGUUGGAAGUGAAAUCCAUGGGCUCAACCCAUGAACUGCUUUCAAAACUGUUUUUCUUGAGUAGUGCAGAGGUAGGCGGAAUUCCCGGUGUAGCGGUGGAAUGCGUAGAUAUCGGGAGGAACACCAGUGGCGAAGGCGGCCUACUGGGCACCAACUGACGCUGAGGCUCGAAAGUGUGGGUAGCAAACAGGAUUAGAUACCCUGGUAGUCCACACCGUAAACGAUGAUUACUAGGUGUUGGAGGAUUGACCCCUUCAGUGCCCG
rnacentral:rRNA from 1 species